UAAACGCUUAGGCAGCAAAAAUUGGAUUGAUACAAGAGAAGAUUAGCAUGGCCCCUCUGAAAGGAUGACAUGCAAAAUCUGUAAACGCCUGCACAAAUGG
ensembl:snRNA U6 U6 spliceosomal RNA